rnacentral:tRNA from 1 species
GCUCCGGUAAUUCAAUGGGAGAAUAGGCGACUUAUAAUCGCUCUAUGGAAGGUUCGAAUCCUCCCCGGAGUACCA